GGGGAAUAUUGCACAAUGGGGGAAACCCUGAUGCAGCGACGCCGCGUGAGUGAAGAAGUGCUUCGGCAUGUAAAGCUCUAUCAGCAGGGAAGAAGAUGACGGUACCUGACUAAGAAGCCCCGGCUAACUACGUGCCAGCAGCCGCGGUAAUACGUAGGGGGCAAGCGUUAUCCGGAUUUACUGGGUGUAAAGGGAGCGUAGGUGGUGCGGCAAGUCAGAUGUGAAAGCCCGGGGCUCAACCCCGGGACUGCAUUUGAAACUGUCGUGCUAGAGUGCAGGAGAGGUAAGUGGAAUUCCUAGUGUAGCGGUGAAAUGCGUAGAUAUUAGGAGGAACACCAGUGGCGAAGGCGGCUUACUGGACUGUAACUGACACUGAGGCUCGAAAGCGUGGGGAGCAAAC
rnacentral:rRNA from 1 species